GUUGGGAAUAGAUUCCCAAUGAUAUCAUCAAAUUUGCUAGUGUCGGGGAGUCUGAGGGAUCACAAGUUCUCUAUCAAAAAAGAGAAACAGGCUGUUAACCUAAGCUGACAAAUGUCAAAAAUUUUUUACUACUAAUCAAAUGUUAAUUUUUAAAUGUUCUCCUCAAAUAACACAUGUACUUUCUUUAGCAGGGUAACAUACUCACUUACACCAGUUUUCUUUGUUGCCAACAUUUUGCAUGUUCUGUCCUUCAUAUUUAGUCAGGAACACUUUGCUGGGUGGCACAGCUUUAAUGGCUACUGGAGUAGCUAGGUUUGAGUUGUAUUUUGAUAAAAUCUAAAACAAAGCAAAUUCCUUUUUAUCAGGUCAUAUGAACAACAUAACAUAAAUUUGGAAGGUGUUAUAAAACGUUCAAGAAAAGCCAAGGAAAAUUUGAAGAUAUGCGUUAUUUGGAACAGAAUUUUUUAGCAGCACAGACAGUUCAACAGCACAGAAAAGAUGGAGAUAUUAGAAUUUAACUUGGAUGUGGAAUCUUGAUUUCUCAAGUCUUCUAAAAGUGCUUUGCCCUUUCCUGGGUACACCACUGGUUAAUGAAUUUGGUGUGGAACCUAGGUUGAAAUUAAGAGAUCCAGGAUAGCACCUACAACACCAAGGGGUUCAAGAGGAAGAAAUACUAGCUUUUGUGUGAGAGACAACAGCAAGUCAAAAAGGAUAACUGGAAAGAACUACAAUCCAUCUGGAAUUGAUUUUUGUGUAUGGCAUGCAGUAAGGAUCAAGAUCCAUUCUUUUUUUCCAUGAGUGUCCAACUGACCUGGCACCAUUUACUGAAAAGACAUUCUUUUUUUUUUAAUUGAUGUUUUAAUAGUUUAUAACUGUGAAAUUUUUGGUUGUACAUUUUUGUUUGUCCAUCACCAUAUAUAUGUCUCCCUUCACCCCUUGUGCCCACCCCCUACCCCCAUUGCCCCUGGUAACCACAAUACAGUUUUCUCUGUCCAUGUUUUGGUUUAUAUUCCACAUAUGAGUGAGAUCAUACAGUGUUUGUCUUUCUCUUUCUGGCUUAUGAAAAGACAUACUUUACCCACUGCACUGUCACCUUUCUUAUUAAUCAGUUGGUCAUAUAUAUAAUGUAAAAGCAGUUUUUUUUAAAGGAUUCUAUUUCUCUUUUCUAAAACAUGCCUCCUUUGAAGAUCUCCUUCUACCUGUUAAAAGACCAAUUUUCAUUAGGAAAAUGCAAAUCCAGACCCAAUAACAUCUUACUUUAUACACACUAGAAUAGCUGUAACAAAAAAAGACAACAAUAAAUGUUGAUAAUGAUGUGGAGAAAUGUCAACCCUCAUUCACUGCUGGUGGAAAUGUAUAAUGGUGCAUCUGCUUUGGAAAACAAUUUGGCAGGUCCUCAGAAAGCUAAACACAGGGUUACCAUAUGACCCAGCAAUUCCACUUCUAAGUGUAUACCCAAGAGAACUGCAAACAUUAUGUUCACACAACAACAUUGCAUACAAUGUUUACAGCAGCAUUGUUCAUAAUAGCCAAAAAGUGGAAACAACCCAAAUGUUCAUCAACUGAUGAAGAGAUAAACAAAAUGUGAUAUAGCCAUACAAUGGAAUAUUAUUCAGUGAUAAAAUGGAAUGAAGUACUGAUAUAUGCUAAGACAUGGAUGAACCCUGCAACAUUAUGCUAAGUGAAAUAAGUCAAUCACAAAAGACCACAUAUUGUAUGAUUCCAUUUGUAUGAAAUGUCUAGAAUAGGCAAAUCUAUAGAGACAGAAAGUAAAUUAGUAGUUGCAUAAGGCUAGUGCGGCAGGUGGGGGUGGGAUUAUGGGGAGUGGCUGUUAACAGUCACCGGGGUUUAUUUUAGGGGUGAUGAAAAUUUAA